CCGGGGCCGCCGGAAAGGAGACGCGAAGAACGGCCGGGGGCCGCCGGGCCCGGGGCGCUGCGUCGCCCUCCGACCGCUCACCUCCCCUUCACCGUCACGCCGCGUUUCCGUAUGAGCUCAUCCAGAGACAGGUCCGCCAUCUUGUGGCGGGCCCCAACGACGAGACGCAGCAAGGAAGCCCCGGAGGUGACACCGUAGGACUUCCGGCUAUCGCCCCGCCCCCAGAAGAUCGACGGGCCCCGCCCUCGGCCCCUCCCCGUGCGGCGGGGAGCGCCCACAACCCCCCGCGACGCCCGGGCCGCUCAUUUGCAUACGAUUCCGAACGCCCCGGUGCGAUUCUGCUCGCGCAGCGGCUCCGUGGCGCAGAAGGGACAGGGACCGGGCAGAAACUUAAGGGAACCGUCAUUGAACUUAUCCGUCAUGAGAUAACGUGGGGAUCCUCUCGCCCUGACCUAUAGAGCUAGCGCGCAGAGGUCUUCUGGCGGAGCUGAGGAGAAGGGGUUAUGCCUUAAACUUAUGAGUAAGGAAAAUAACGACCCGGGGUGACGCCCGGGUCCUCACUGCCUAUGUGAGAGGAAUUUUUGCGCGGGUACAGGUCGCCCCCGGGUGCCCCGCCUACUUCGCGGGAUGCCCGGGUGCCGUGAUCUGCCCGACCCUCUGUGCCGCGCGUGCCAACGACAGAGCUCUUCUCUGUGUUCAGCCGCACUGCUUGGGGAUGUUUACGGCCCGCUCGUAGCGUCAUCCGCCCACUGUGAUGCGGCCGGACACCGCCUCCUCAGUGCUCUAGCGCGUGGUUACCGGGAAUUCGAAUUACUGUACAGAUCAAAAAUAGCUUAACUAGUCUCCCCCCUCCUGCCGCCUUCACUGAUCUGCCUUAAGGGCCUUCACGAAGCUAAGAAAUACAUCAACCCCCUCCUAAUAUAUCAUGUGUCUGCAGGAAGUGAUUCCUUUUCUAUGCUUCUGACGGAGGAAUUAGGCUAUUCAAAAUCAGACUAAAAUUGAAAAACGGCAGUGAAAGGGAAAACUGUCUUAUGCAGCUUGGGCGGAGGUGAGCUUCCAGGGAUGCCUCCUGCCCUACCUAUCUUGACCUGCGGGACUGUAGCUCUGAGUCUCACUGUAGGUCCUGGUGCUGCUGAGCCUCCCUCCCAAAGCCCUUUUGAAGCACAGAGCACCCCCAGGGCCUGCAGUGUGGGGUUUCUUCCUGUCGUUGGAAAACACUUCUCCAAAAUGCAGUUUUGCUUCCGCCUGCAGCUCUGUCUGAUCCCCGGCACCUGUCACGAGUUUCACUUGUGACCCCUCCACAGCCUCCCUGUUACCUUCCUGCCAUCUCCCCACCACAGCAUCCUGAGCUGUAGUAACUCCAGGGCAUUGCCGUGGAUGCGGCAGCAUCCAGCGUGUUGCUGCAGAGCUGGCGGCCCGUGUGUACUCCAUGCGAGAUACACGAGGAAAACUCCUGGACUUCAGUAGAGCAGAAGCUGCCAGUGAGAGCCCGGGACAAAUGCAGAGGAGAUGGGCACCGCUGAGGCGUGUUCACAGUCACACAGGCUCAGGAUCCCACAGCACUGAUUCCGUUUCAGGAACGUUUCAAGCCUUGGUGAGCCUAUAGUCAUACCAGCGGUGACACCAAGUCUCUGCUUAGUUGUCCACUGGUGCUUGAUCCAGUUCCAGGGUGGAACAUGACUGCAUUACUCUCAAAUUAAGGGAAGACACAGAGACCUGAACAUUUUUGAAGGUUAUACCAGGAAUGUCAGUUAAUGUUAGACGUGGGUGCUGCAGCAGGAAAGGCCGAUUCUCACAGCCUGGCUGCGGGGGCUUUGUCCUGCCCAGGCAGAGGAGACAAGUGCUCGCUUCCUCCUAAGCUCGCCCGCGUCUGGCAGCCAGUUGUGGUAAUGCUUUUGUGCUGGCAUCAAACACUGGCACUGCCAGCAUGAGCCCCUCAAAAGAUCUGCAAGGAACUCGAUAAGGCCAAGCUUUUUGAAAGGCCCAGCAAGCUGCAAAAGGACGAAGCUCAUCUUUGGAAGUUUCAUAUAUAUGUGAUAUAUAUGUCAUGUAUCUUUCAUAAAAAAAAACCUGC